CACGACAGGUAAUCGCGGUUCGGCUGAAAGCCGACCUCUGACGGCGCCGACUGGGCGAAGGCCGGAACGGGCGCCGCGAGCAGCGCCAGCGCCGACAACAGACACAGGCCCGCGGCCCACCGUCCGGGGAAUCGCCGUGACCUCAUGGGGAGGUCGGGACUUUACCACGGGUCGAAGGCAAGAGAUGUGUCGCCCUGCGCUACCACUCAGAAAAGCGAC
rnacentral:misc_RNA from 1 species